GACGAACCGAGCGAACGUUGUUCGGAAUCACUGGGCUUAAAGGGCGCGUAGGCGGUCGUGACAAGUCACUUGUGAAAUCUCCGGGCUUAACUCGGAACGGUCAAGUGAUACUGUCGGACUAGAGUACAGAAGGGGCAACUGGAAUCUCGGUGUAGCGGUGAAAUGGCGUAGAGAUCGGGAAGAACAUCGGUGGCGAAAGCGCUCUGCUGGACUGCAACUGACACUCAGGGACGAAAGCUAGGGGAGCGAAAUGGG
rnacentral:rRNA from 1 species